AGAGUUUGAUCCUGGCUCAGAUUGAACGCUAGCGGCAUGCCUUACACAUGCAAGUCGAACGGCAGCACGGGGGCAACCCUGGUGGCGAGUGGCGAACGGGUGAGUAAUGCAUCGGAACGUGCCCAACGAUGGGGGAUAACUGCGCGAAAGCGUUGCUAAUACCGCAUACGACCUACGGGUGAAAGCAGGGGACCGCAAGGCCUUGCGUCGAUGGAGCGGCCGAUGUCGGAUUAGCUAGUUGGUGAGGUAAAGGCUCACCAAGGCGACGAUCCGUAGCUGGUCUGAGAGGACGACCAGCCACACUGGGACUGAGACACGGCCCAGACUCCUACGGGAGGCAGCAGUGGGGAAUCUUGGACAAUGGGGGCAACCCUGAUCCAGCAAUGCCGCGUGUGGGAAGAAGGCCUUCGGGUUGUAAACCACUUUUGGCAGGGAAGAAAUGGCCUGUGUGAAUACCACGGGUUGAUGACGGUACCUGCAGAAUAAGCACCGGCUAACUACGUGCCAGCAGCCGCGGUAAUACGUAGGGUGCGAGCGUUAAUCGGAAUUACUGGGCGUAAAGCGUGCGCAGGCGGUUGGGAAAGAUAGGUGUGAAAUCCCUGGGCUUAACCUAGGAAUUGCAUUUAUGACUGCCCGACUGGAGUACGGUAGAGGGGAGUGGAAUUCCGCGUGUAGCAGUGAAAUGCGUAGAUAUGCGGAGGAACACCGAUGGCGAAGGCAGCUCCC
rnacentral:rRNA from 1 species